UACGGGGGGGGCAAGCGUUGUUCGGAAUUACUGGGCGUAAAGGGCUCGUAGGCGGCCAACUAAGUCCGACGUGAAAUCCCCAGGCUUAACCUGGGAACUGCGUCGGAUACUGGAUGGCUUGAAUCCGGGAGAGGGAUGCAGAAUUCCAGGUGUAGCGGUGAAAUGCGUAGAUAUCUGGAGGAAUACCGGCGGCGAAGGCGGCAUCCUGGACCGGCAUUGACGCUGAGUGAGCGAAAGCUAGGGGAGCAAACGGG
rnacentral:rRNA from 1 species